rnacentral:rRNA from 1 species
GAUGAACGCUGGCGGCGUGCCUAAUACAUGCAAGUCGAGCGAACGGACGAGAAGCUUGCUUCUCUGAUGUUAGCGGCGGACGGGUGAGUAACACGUGGAUAACCUACCUAUAAGACUGGGAUAACUUCGGGAAACCGGAGCUAAUACCGGAUAAUAUUUUGAACCGCAUGGUUCAAAAGUGAAAGACGGUCUUGCUGUCACUUAUAGAUGGAUCCGCGCUGCAUUAGCUAGUUGGUAAGGUAACGGCUUACCAAGGCAACGAUGCAUAGCCGACCUGAGAGGGGGAUCGGCCACACUGGAACUGAGCAACGGUCCAGACUCCUACGGGAGGAAGCAGUAGGGAAUCUUCCGCAAUGGGCGAAAGCCUGACGGAGCAACGCCGCGUGAGUGAUGAAGGUCUUCGGAUCGUAAAACUCUGUUAUUAGGGAAGAACAUAUGUGUAAGUAACUGUGCACAUCUUGACGGUACCUAAUCAGAAAGCCACGGCUAACUACGUG